rnacentral:rRNA from 1 species
UACGAAGGGUGCAAGCGUUACUCGGAAUUACUGGGCGUAAAGCGUGCGUAGGUGGUUGUUUAAGUCUGUUGUGAAAGCCCUGGGCUCAACCUGGGAACUGCAGUGGAAACUGGACAACUAGAGUGUGGUAGAGGGUAGCGGAAUUCCCGGUGUAGCAGUGAAAUGCGUAGAGAUCGGGAGGAACAUCCAUGGCGAAGGCAGCUACCUGGACCAACACUGACACUGAGGCACGAAAGCGUGGGGAGCAAACAGGG